UACGUAGGUGGCAAGCGUUGUCCGGAUUUACUGGGCGUAAAGAGCGCGCAGGCGGUCGUACAAGUCGCGUGUGAAAGCCCCCGGCUCAACUGGGGAGGGUCACGCGAUACUGUUCGACUCGAAGGCAGGAGAGGGAAGCGGAAUUCCCGGUGUAGUGGUGAAAUGCGUAGAUAUCGGGAGGAACACCAGUGGCGAAGGCGGCUUCCUGGCCUGUUCUUGACGCUGAGGCGCGAAAGCGAGGGUAGCAAACGGG
rnacentral:rRNA from 1 species